rnacentral:rRNA from 1 species
GACGUAGGUGGCGAACGUUAUCCGGAAUUAUUGGGCGUAAAGGGUGCGUAGGUGGCCUGGCAAGUUAUUAGUGGUAAAUCGAGGCUCAACCUCGUGGAAACUAGUAAUACUGUUCGGCUUGAGUGCAGGAGAGGUUAACGGAACUCUAUGUGGAGGGGUAAAAUCCAUAGAUAUAUGGAUGAACAUCAAUAACGGCGAAGGCAGUUAACUAUUUCUGUUUACUGACACUGAGGCACGAAAGCGUGGGGAGCAAAACGG